rnacentral:rRNA from 1 species
UACGGGGGGGGCAAGCGUUGUUCGGAAUUACUGGGCGUAAAGGGCUCGUAGGCGGCCAACUAAGUCAUACGUGAAAUCCCUCGGCUUAACCGGGGAACUGCGUCUGAUACUGGAUGGCUUGAGUUCGGGAGAGGGAUGCGGAAUUCCAGGUGUAGCGGUGAAAUGCGUAGAUAUCAAGAGGAACACCUGAGGUGAAGACGGGUUGCUGGGCCAACACUGACGCUGAGGCGCGAAAGCCAGGGGAGCAAACGGG